rnacentral:lncRNA from 1 species
CUACGGGUUGUUUUUUUGGGGGGGGGGGAAAAAGUGUUAAUUUGCUUUUUCUUGGUCAAAAAUUCAAAUUUUUUAAUUUUUUUUUUCUUUUUUUGGGGGGGUUAUUUAUUAAUUUGUUUGUUUAUGUAUUUAUUUAUUAAUUUGUUUAUGUAUUUAUUUAAUUUUUUGGGGGGGUGGAGCCCCCAGAUUUUGGGCAGGAGUUGGACACUUUGGGCAAGCACCAAAUUUUGGGGGUUUAUUUCCUUCCCCUCACUCAAUAAUUCAAUUUUUAAUUUUUUUUUUUUAUUUUUUUUGGGGGGGUUAUUUAUUAAUUUAUUCGUUUAUGUAUUUAUUUAUUAAUUUGUUUAUGUAUUUAUUUAAUUUUGGGGGGGGUGGAGCCCCCAGAUUUUGAGGAGGGAGGGGGUGAUUCAGGCAGCGCCCAAACUCCGUCGGGAUGAAAUUUUGGGGCUGGAUUUUGGUAAUUUUUUUGGGGAGAAAAGCCCCCAAAUUGGGGGUCAUGAUUUGAGGGGGGGGACACAAAAUUGAAGCUCCACCGGGAUGAAAUUUGGGGGGAAAAGACCCUAAAAAAGCCCCCCCCCCCCAANNNNNNNNNNNNNNNNNNNNNNNNNNNNNNNNNCAUCGGUUUUGGAAUAUUUUUGCCUUUUUUUUUGACAUUUUUGCUUGUUUCCGCCUUUUUU